GAUGAACGCUGGCGGCGUGCCCAAUACAUGCAAGUCGAGCGAACGGACGAGAAGCUUGCUUCUCUGAUGUUAGCGGCGGACGGGUGAGUAACACGUGGAUAACCUACCUAUAAGACUGGGAUAACUUCGGGAAACCGGAGCUAAUACCGGAUAAUAUUUUGAACCGCAUGGUUCAAAAGUGAAAGACGGUCUUGCUGUCACUUAUAGAUGGAUCCGCGCUGCAUUAGCUAGUUGGUAAGGUAACGGCUUACCAAGGCAACGAUGCAUAGCCGACCUGAGAGGGUGAUCGGCCACACUGGAACUGAGACACGGUCCAGACUCCUACGGGAGGCAGCAGUAGGGAAUCUUCCGCAGUGGGCGAAAGCCUGACGGAGCAACGCCGCGUGAGUGAUGAAGGUCUUCGGAUCGUAAAACUCUGUUAUUAGGGAAGAACAUAUGUGUAAGUAACUGUGCACAUCUUGACGGUACCUAAUCAGAAAGCCACGGCUAACUACGUGCCAGCAGCCGCGGUAAUACGUAGGUGGCAAGCGUUAUCCGGAAUUAUUGGGCGUAAAGCGCGCGUAGGCGGUUUUUUAAGUCUGAUGUGAAAGCCCACGGCUCAACCGUGGAGGGUCAUUGGAAACUGGAAAACUUGAGUGCAGAAGAGGAAAGUGGAAUUCCAUGUGUAGCGGUGAAAUGCGCAGAGAUAUGGAGGAACACCAGUGGCGAAGGCGACUUUCUGGUCUGUAACUGACGCUGAUGUGCGAAAGCGUGGGGAUCAAACAGGAUUAGAUACCCUGGUAGUCCACGCCGUAAACGAUGAGUGCUAAGUGUUAGGGGGUUUCCGCCCCUUAGUGCUGCAGCUAACGCAUUAAGCACUCCGCCUGGGGAGUACGACCGCAAGGUUGAAACUCAAAGGAAUUGACGGGGACCCGCACAAGCGGUGGAGCAUGUGGUUUAAUUCGAAGCAACGCGAAGAACCUUACCAAAUCUUGACAUCCUUUGACAACUCUAGAGAUAGAGCUUUCCCCUUCGGGGGACAAAGUGACAGGUGGUGCAUGGUUGUCGUCAGCUCGUGUCGUGAGAUGUUGGGUUAAGUCCCGCAACGAGCGCAACCCUUAAGCUUAGUUGCCAUCAUUAAGUUGGGCACUCUAAGUUGACUGCCGGUGACAAACCGGAGGAAGGUGGGGAUGACGUCAAAUCAUCAUGCCCCUUAUGAUUUGGGCUACACACGUGCUACAAUGGACAAUACAAAGGGCAGCGAAACCGUGAGGUCAAGCAAAUCCCAUAAAGUUGUUCUCAGUUCGGAUUGUAGUCUGCAACUCGACUACAUGAAGCUGGAAUCGCUAGUAAUCGUAGAUCAGCAUGCUACGGUGAAUACGUUCCCGGGUCU
rnacentral:rRNA from 1 species